ACUCCUACGGGAGGCAGCAGUGGGGAAUUUUGCGCAAUGGGGGAAACCCUGACGCAGCAACGCCGCGUGGAGGAUGAAGUCCCUUGGGAUGUAAACUCCUUUCGAUCGGGACGAUGAUGACGGUACCCGGAGAAGAAGCUGCGGCUAACUACGUGCCAGCAGCCGCGGUAAUACAGAGGGUGCAAGCGUUGUUCGGAAUUACUGGGCGUAAAGGGCGCGUAGGCGGCUUGCCAAGUCAGGCGUGAAAUUCCCGGGCUUAACCUGGGGACUGCAUUUGAUACUGGGUUGCUUGAAUUCUGGAGGGGAUAGCGGAAUUCCUGGUGUAGCGGUGAAAUGCGUAGAUAUCAGGAGGAACACCGGUGGCGAAGGCGGCUAUCUGGACAGAAACUGACGCUGAGGCGCGAAAGCUAGGGGAGCAAACAGGAUUAGAUACCCUGGUAGUCCUAGCCCUAAACGAUGCACAUUUGGUGUGGGUCAUUCAGUUGAUCCGUGCCGGAGCUAACGCGUUAAAUGUGUCGCCUGGGGAGUACAGUCGCAAGGCUGAAACUCAAAGGAAUUGACG
rnacentral:rRNA from 1 species